GACGAACGCUGGCGGCGUGCUUAACACAUGCAAGUCGAGCGGUAAGGCCCUUUCGGGGGUACACGAGCGGCGAACGGGUGAGUAACACGUGGGUGACCUGCCCUCAGCUCUGGGAUAAGCCUGGGAAACCGGGUCUAAUACUGGAUAUGACUCCAUGACGCAUGUUGUGGGGUGGAAAGCCUUGUGCGGCUGAGGAUGGGCCCGCGGCCUAUCAGCUUGUUGGUGGGGUGAGGCCUACCAAGGCGACGACGGGUAGCCGGCCUGAGAGGGCGACCGGCCACACUGGGACUGAGACACGGCCCAGACUCCUACGGGAGGCAGCAGUGGGGAAUCUUGCGCAAUGGGCGAAAAGCCUGACGCAGCGACGCCGCGUGAGGGAUGACGGCCUGGU
rnacentral:rRNA from 1 species